rnacentral:rRNA from 1 species
AGUGGCGAACGGGGCAGUAAGGCAUGGGUAACCUGCCUCUUGGUUGGGGAUAGCCAUUCUAACGGAUGAAUAAUACCCAGCGAUCUGACGACGGGGCCUCCCGAUGCCAGCAAAGAUUUAUCGCCGAGAGAGGGGCCCAUGUGGUAUUAGCUAGUUGGUAGGGUAACGGCCUACCAAGGCCAAGAUGCCUAGCAGGUGUGAGAGCACGACCUGCGUCACUGGCACUGAGACACUGGCCAGACUCCUACGGGAGGCUGCAGUCGAGGAUCUUCGGCAAUGGGCGCAAGCCUGACCGAGCGACGCCGCGUGUGCGAAGAAGGCCUUCGGGUUGUAAAGCACUGUCGAGGGGGAGAAAAGCCGCAAGGCCUGAUCUAUCCCUGGAGGAAGCACGGGCUAAGUUCGUGCCAGCAGCCGCGGUAAGACGAACCGUGCAAACGUUGUUCGGAAUCACUGGGCUUAAAGGGCGCGUAGGCGGGUGGUCAAGUCAGGGGUGAAAUCGUUCGGCUUAACCGGACAAUAGCCUCUGAUACUGGCCGUCUCGAGGGAGGUAGGGGCAUGUGGAACUUCCGGUGGAGCGGUGAAAUGCGUAGAUAUCGGAAGGAACGCCGGUGGCGAAAGCGACGUGCUGGACCUUUUCUGACGCUGAGGCGCGAAAGCUAGGGGAGCAAACGGGAUUAGAUACCCCGGUAGUCCUAGCCCUAAACGAUGGGUACUAGAUUGUGGGCUUAACAUGGGCUCACAGUCGAAGCAAAAGUAUUAAGUACCCCGCCUGGGGAGUAUGGUCGCAAGGCUGGA